rnacentral:rRNA from 1 species
GACGAACGCUGGCGGCGUGCUUAACACAUGCAAGUCGAACGGAAAGGCACUGCUUUUGUGGGGUGCUCGAGUGGCGAACGGGUGAGUAACACGUAAGUAACCUGCCCUUGCUUUUGGGAUAGCUUCAGGAAACUGGGGCUAAUACCGGAUAGGAGCUCCUGCUGCAUGGUGGGGGUUGGAAAGUUUCGGCGGUUGGGGAUGGACUCGCGGCUUAUCAGCUUGUUGGUGGGGUAGUGGCUUACCAAGGCUUUGACGGGUAGCCGGCCUGAGAGGGUGACCGGCGUCAGGGGGACUGAGGGACGCACCAGACGCCAACGGUGGGCAGCAGUGGGGAAUAUGGCACAGCGGGCGGAAGCGUGAGGCAGCGGCGCCGGGGGUGGGAUGACGGCCUGCUGGGUGUAAACCGCAUCCGCCUGUGACGAAGCGUGUGUGACGGUAAUGGGUAAAUAAGCACCGGCUAACUACGUG